rnacentral:rRNA from 1 species
GUGUCAGCAGCCGCGGUAAAACGUAGGUGGCGAGCGUUAUCCGGAUUUACUGGGCGUAAAGCGUGUGCAGGCGGGGUGAUAAGUGGUGUAUGAAAUCUCUGGGCUUAACUCGGAGGGGUUAUGCCAGACUGUCACUCUAGAGUGCGAGAGAGGAACGUGGAAUUCCGGGUGUAGUGGUGAAAUGCGUAGAGAUCCGGAGGAACCCCAGAGGCGAAGGCGGCGUUCUGGCUCGCAACUGACGCUCAGACACGACAGCAUGGGGAGCGAACGGGAUUAGAAACCCCGGUAGUCC